rnacentral:rRNA from 1 species
UACGUAGGGGGCAAGCGUUGUCCGGAAUUAUUGGGCGUAAAGAGCGUGUAGGCGGUCCGGUAAGUCAGCUGUGAAAGUCAAGGGCUCAACCCUUGAAUGCCGGUUGAUACUGUCGGGCUAGAGUCCGGAAGAGGCGAGUGGAAUUCCCGGUGUAGCGGUGAAAUGCGCAGAUAUCGGGAGGAACACCAAUGGCGAAGGCAGCUCGCUGGGACGGUUCUGACGCUGAGACGCGAAAGCGUGGGGAGCAAACAGG